AAAAGAGAAGAAAAGAAAAGAAGGAAACAGUAGCAAUGAGUUGAAACUACAAGAGAGAGAGAGCAUGAUCAGAGGAGGGACAGAGACAGAGAAAUUAAAAGGAUUAAAAGGAUUAAAAGCAGUCUCUGCACUAACAGCAGCAAGCCUGAUGUGAGACUUGAACUCACAAACUGCGAGAUCACGACCCGAGCCAAAGUUGGACGCUCAACCGAAUGAGUCACCCAGGCACCCCACUAGCGGAAAUUUUGAAUAAACACAGAAUUGGUAUGAUUAUUCUCUUCUAAAAUUUAUGUGAUAAUUUCCAGUAGUAUAGUUCAUGGGGAAAAUAAAUCAUUAGGCCCUAUGCACAAGAUGCCAACCAAAUAAUAAACUUGAAUAGUGAUUGGCUAUUGGGCAAUUGAGUAGUUAGAAUGCCAGCUCCUGAAAAUACUUCUCUGUUUGCUUGAUUCCCUCAAGAGUUACUGUGGACUAAAAGUUUUAUUGGCAUUUUUCAUCUCUCGGCCUAUAAAUAUUAUCAGAUAUCUGUUCCUUUCUACCAACUUGUUGUCUCUCUCUUUCCCUUAAAGGCUAAACUUCUUGAAAGAGUUGACUAUCUCUACUUUCUCCUUUUUCUUCAGUCCUCGGUGUACUUCCCACCUUCCAUUUAGUUCCCCUUCUUCUCAUCCCUCCAUUAAUAUGUCUCAUGAUCUAUUACUGACCAAGUCACAUACAUAUCAGUACCCCCCAUCUCCGGUCCAGUCAUUUGGUCAACUGAUUGAAUGGUUAAUUCCAUCCCAAGUAUCUCUUUUGACUCAAGUCUCUAGGAUAGGUACUGGAGGAUGUUGAACAUGCCUGCAGUAUAAAGGCCUGAGUAUGUAGAUUUUGAAAAAUUUUCCCUGUUGGUUUUGAAAUGGUGCCUGUAAUCUGGUCUCUGUUCCUUAGACAUCUAUUUUUAAUGUGUUAACUGCCAGCUAUGUUGGUAUCUCUCAAGUCUGUAGCUUGAACUUGGGGCUCUUUCCUGACAAUCUAAGCCAAAUAUGUAAUUAUCUACUGGCGAUUGUCACCAGAUUGUGCCACAGUCAGAUAAAAAGAACAGCGUACAAACUGGCUCCUCUUUCUUUGCUCACCAAAACCUGGCUCGGGAUGGUAACAUUUACCUUGGCAUCCAAUUCUGAAAUGUGGGAGUCAACCUAGAGUUACCAAGUCUGUGCAUCCAGUUGGUCACUAAGUGCUAUUAAUUACAUUUCCUUUGCAAGUCUCUAACGUGAAUCCUUUUCUCCCUUUAUUGCAUCAGGUCAGGUUUUAUAAUUUCCGUCUGGGACUUUAUUUUUUUGGUGGCCGCUUCCAUUCCAAUUUAUCUUCAUAGCCAAAGCUGUAUUUCCACAGUACAAAUCUCAUUAUACCUUCUGCUGAGAUCUGUUAGCGGCUUCUGCACCACUUUUAAGAUCAGAAGUCUCUGUGUGUAAAAACUUCCCUUAAUGAUUGGCCCCCGACUGGCUGUCCAGCCCUAUACACUGCAUUAUCCAUAUUUGCACUUUGUGCCCAAGUGUGAACUAAUUAUUCCCAUUUUUUUGAAAAGAGUCAUGCUAUUCCUUGUGUCUGUGCCUUUUUCAUACUGUUUUCCUUUUCCAAACAUGCUCCUCUUGCCCCUUUCCCAUCUAAGAAAUUCUUAUUCUUUAGUACUUAGCUCAAUUUUUAUCUUUUCUAGCAGGCCUCUCCUCCCUUUCUCAUGCAUUUAAUGGAGUUAAACAUGGGCCUCUGUACAUUAUGGUGUACUGGCUCAUAUGUGAAUGUUCUAAUGUGAUAUAUAUAUAUAUAUAUAUAUAUAUAUAUAUAAUCGUUCAAUGACUUCUACUGUUUCUUAAAAUGAAAUCAAAUUUCUUAUUAUAGCCUAUAAGGCCCUGUAUGCCCAAACUCCUUCCCACUAAUCCUUCUCCUCAUCUUUAACUGGACUUCAGUUAUGCUGGAUUCCUUUUAGAUCACAGACCAAGACAAACUUUCUCCCACCUUACAGACCAUGUAUAUUCUGCAUCCUAUUCCUGGAAGGUUAAGUCCAGUUUUUAACAAGCAUGGCUUUUCCUCAUUUUUAAAGUCUAGCUUAAAAGACCCUCUCAGAUAAAAUUUCCUUGCUCUUAGUAAUUUCUCCUCCCACCCUUACCCCCAUAGUAUUUUUCAAAGCAUAUUUAUAGGAUUUUUUUAGCUUGUAAUUUCAUAGCAUAUAUAUGAACUCAUGAAAUUCAUAUACAUACAUACAUACAUACAUAUGUGUGUAAAAAUGUCUUUAUGUGUCUAUCUCUCCAUGUGUCUAUAUGCAUGUGUGUAUACCUUAUUAAGGAAAUAUAUAUUCCAAAAACACACAAAUAUUGUGAGCAAUGAAGUUUUACAAAAUGAACACAUCCAUGAAUCCAGAUCACAGUAUAGAAUAUUAUGUGCAUGAUAGCCAGCCUUGCUUGAGAUAGCUGCAACUAUCUACCAAACUUCCUCCCAGCUCCCCACAAAAAUAAUAUACCAUAUUGUGACUUUUAUUGCAAUAGAUUACUAUAACCUCUUUUUGAAAUUAUAUGUGUAUGUACUCUUUUGUGCCUAAAUUCAACAUUUUCUUGUGAUAUUCAUCCAUUUUGCUGUAUACACAGUUUGUUCAUUCAUAUUGUUGACUAGUUUUCCAUUAUACUAUAUGUGACAAUUAGAGUUAUCCACUCUACUCUUGAUGAAUAAUGCUGCUUGAACAUUGUUGCAUGUGUUUUUUUUUUCCUGGUGUGUGUUUAUAUAUAUAUAUGUAUGUACAUAAAUGUAUAUAUGUAUAUAAAUGUAUAUAUGUGUCUAUAUAUAUAAAUGUGUGUGUGUGUGUGUGUAUAUAUAUGUAUAUAAAAUUUGGGGGGAAAUGCAGAAGCUAUGCAUAAGAUAUGCACAUACAUAGCUUUGGUAGAUACUCCCGAUGGAUUUCUAGGAUGUUUGCAUGUGUGUAUAAGCAGUAUAAGAGUUCCAGUUGCUACACAUACAUACCAAUAUUUGGCAUUGUUAUAAUUUUUAAUUUUUGAUUUUCCACUGUGUGUGUGCAUUGCUAUGUAAUUUUGAUUUUAUUUUUGUAUUGUCUUAAUGUCUAAUAUUAAAGAUUUUUUGUUAUGCUUAUUGA